GACGAACGCUGGCGGCGUGCUUAACACAUGCAAGUCGAACGGAAAGGCCCUGCUUUUGUGGGGUGCUCGAGUGGCGAACGGGUGAGUAACACGUGAGUAACCUGCCCUUGACUUUGGGAUAACUUCAGGAAACUGGGGCUAAUACCGGAUAGGAGCUCCUGCUGCAUGGUGGGGGUUGGAAAGUUUCGGCGGUUGGGGAUGGACUCGCGGCUUAUCAGCUUGUUGGUGGGGUAGUGGCUUACCAAGGCUUUGACGGGUAGCCGGCCUGUGAGGGUGACCGGACACAUUGGAACUGAGAUACGGCCCAGACUCCUACGGGAGGCAGCAGUGGGGAAGAUUGCACAAUGGGCGGAAGCCUGAUGCAGCAACGCCGCGUGCGGGAUAACGGCAUUCGGGUUGUAAACCGCUUUCGCCUGUGACGAAGCGUGAGUGACGGUAAUGGGUAAAGAAGCACCGGCUAACUACGUG
rnacentral:rRNA from 1 species